rnacentral:ribozyme from 13 species
AAUUUUUUUAUUUUUUUUUUGAAAAAAAGAAGAAAAAAUGAGAGAGAAAUUUCUUUCAUUCUUGUUUAUUUCUCUCUAUUUCUC